rnacentral:ncRNA from 1 species
UUAAAGUUUUAUUCUUGCUUAAUGAUUUAUUAAUAAUAUAUUUUACAUGUAAGUAUUUGUGUGAUAUAUUAAAUACUUUAAAAGUUUUUAUUUGUAUUUUAUUCGCAGUAAUUGAUAUUAUAUAUUAAAGAAAUUUAGAGUUAGUAAUAUUAUAUAAUAUUGGUUAAAUUUGUGCCAGCUACCGCGGUUAUACAAGGAAUGUGAAUAAAUCUUAUUAGUAUUAGUUAAAUUGUUGUUUUAUUAAAAUUAUUUUUAAUUUUAUUAGGUGAAAUUUUAAAGUUAAUUGAGUUUUAUUUUUAGUAUUUUUGAGGCUAGAAAAUUUUAUUAUUAAACUAGGAUUAGAUACCCUAUUAUUUAAAAUGUAAAAUUUAAUGCUUGAGUAGUAUUAGAUAUGGUCUUGAAACUUAAAGAAUUUGGCGGUGUUUUAGUCUAUUCAGAGGAACCUGUUCUGUAAUUGAUGUUCCACGGUGUACCUUACUUAAAUUUGUCUUUCAAUUUGUAUAUCGCUGUUAUUUGAAUAUUUUAUAAGAAGAAUAAUUUUCAAUAAUUUAUAUAAAAAUCUAUGUCAAGUCAAGGUGCAGUUAAUAUUUAAGUAGAAAUGGGUUACAAUAGAUUUAUUUAUGCGGAUGUAGAAUUUAAAUAUUUUAUUUAAGAUGGAUUUGAUAGUAAAAUUAUAAAGAUAAAUAGUUUGAUUAUAGCUCUAAAAUAUGCACAUAUCGCCCGUCGCUCUUAUUAUUAAAAUAAGAUAAGUCGUAACAUAGUAGAUGUACUGGAAAGUGUAUCUAGAAUGAC